AGUGAACGCUGGCGGUAGGCCUAACACAUGCAAGUCGAACGGCAGCACAGGAGAGCUUGCUCUCUGGGUGGCGAGUGGCGGACGGGUGAGGAAUACAUCGGAAUCUACUCUGUCGUGGGGGAUAACGUAGGGAAACUUACGCUAAUACCGCAUACGACCUACGGGUGAAAGCAGGGGACCUUCGGGCCUUGCGCGAUUGAAUGAGCCGAUGUCGGAUUAGCUAGUUGGCGGGGUAAAGGCCCACCAAGGCGACGAUCCGUAGCUAGUCUGGGAGGAUGAACAGCCAGACUGAAACUGUGACACGGUCCAGACUCCUAGGGGAGGAGGCAGGAGGGAAUAUUGGUUAAUAGGGGCAAGCCUGAUCCAUCUCUACCGCGUGGGUGUAGAAGGCCUUCGGGUUGUAAAGCCCUUUUGUUGGGAAAGAAAUCCAGCUGGCUAAUACCCGGUUGGGAUGACGGUACCCAAAGAAUAAGCACCGGCUAACUUCGUGCCAGCAGCCGCCGUAA
rnacentral:rRNA from 1 species